AUUGAACGCUGGCGGCAUGCUUUACACAUGCAAGUCGAACGGCAGCACAGGGAGCUUGCUCCCGGGUGGCGAGUGGCGCACGGGUGAGUAAUACAUCGGAACGUGUCCUGUUGUGGGGGAUAACUGCUCGAAAGGGUGGCUAAUACCGCAUAAGCCCACGACCCGGCAUCGGGUUGAGGGAAAAGGAGCAAUCCGCUUUGAGAUGGCCUCGCGUCCGAUUAGCUGGUUGGUGAGGUAACGGCCCACCAAGGCGACGAUCGGUAGCCGGACUGAGAGGUUGAACGGCCACAUUGGGACUGAGACACGGCCCAGACUCCUACGGGAGGCAGCAGUGGGGAAUAUUGCACAAUGGGGGAAACCCUGAUGCAGCGACGCCGCGUGGAGGAAGAAGGUCUUCGGAUUGUAAACUCCUGUUGUUGAGGAAGAUAAUGACGGUACUCAACAAGGAAGUGACGGCUAACUACGUGCCAGCAGCCGCGGUAAAACGUAGGUCACAAGCGUUGUCCGGAAUUACUGGGUGUAAAGGGAGCGCAGGCGGGAAGACAAGUUGGAAGUGAAAUCUAUGGGCUCAACCCAUAAACUGCUUUCAAAACUGUUUUUCUUGAGUAGUGCAGAGGUAGGCGGAAUUCCCGGUGUAGCGGUGGAAUGCGUAGAUAUCGGGAGGAACACCAGUGGCGAAGGCGGCCUACUGGGCACCAACUGACGCUGAGGCUCAAAGGUGUGGGUAGCAAACAGG
rnacentral:rRNA from 1 species